rnacentral:sRNA from 1 species
ACGUCAGCUGAGAAGAUGCCUCCAUCACACUGACUGCAAGCGAGUCUGUGGAACAGUCUCUUGAUCAGUAAAUAAUGUGAAUGAGCCAAGCUGGAUGUAGGUGAUGCCCAUCAUGGGAAGUGCUCCUGAGUUAAGAAAGCAGGCUGAGACAACCAAGAACAAGCCAGUGAGCACCGCUCCUGUACGGUUUCUGCUUCACUUCCUAUCUCCAGGCUCCUUCCAAGACUUCCCCUGGUGAACUGAGAGAUAUCUUCUUCCUCAUGAUCCUGUCACUGAAGAAUGACCUGGUCCAGGUUAAGAACAGUGCAAACAGGAUCAUGGUUCAGAAAGAAACUGAACAUUCCAUAUUAGAUAGUAACUAGAGCUGGAGUGGGUAAGAAGAUAGGCAACUGGGACUUAGGCUCAAAUACAGCACGAGUAAGAAGCUUGCCUUGUGUGAGGGAGGACUCCACGCUGCCAGACUACAGUUGCGAGAUUUACCGGCCAGAUGGACAAACCAGGAUAAUCAGUUAAAUUUGAAUUUUGCUGAAACAGUUACUUUUUUAAGCCUAAGGUCUAUCAAGUUCAGGUGUUAAUGAGUUCCACAAGAUGACCAACCACUUCCAACUCCGGAAGAGUGAGUCCAUCUACUGUUCUGCUAGAGUUUUCUGUCACAGGGUAAUGGAAACCUCAGGGACACAUUUAGCUGAAUGUAUGGCAAGCAAGACCAGUUGCUCCUUCCCUUCCAUGGGAAAGGAAACGUGAAGGGAGCUGUGGAGUGUGAGCAGGAAUUGGACACUUGGUAGAGGGUAGUAACCUUGUCUGAGGCUGUCAGACACAAAGCUGCUCUUGUCCUCCCUUUGAACUUAGCUCCAGUUGUCUUAAUAGCCAGAUCUGACACCUGUCAAGCUUUCCUCUCUGUCAGCUUAUGCUGGAAUUAUUCUGUGGGACCCCUUUCACCUUCGGUAUAGUUGAAGAAUAAUUUGUUCUUCUUCAUUGGCAAUUGGAUGGUCAGGGCUGGCAUUUGCACUUUUCAAAUUCUUUCCAGAAUUCAAUUCUUCAAACAGCUCGGAGAAAUAAAAGAAGCCAUCAAGUGGUCAGUUGGGUGUCUCUGUUUUUCAAUUAUUUCCAGCACGGUAAAAAAAAAGAUCUAUCACGGACUUAGGAGUCUGAAAACUUGAGCUUCAUAAUUUGGUGUUUUCAGUCCCCAAAGAAAGCUUUCUGAGACCUAAUGUGCCCUACAGGAUUGGCCUCUAUAGCUCCUGCUGGGAUUUGUCUCUUCAUACUUUAAAAGGCAGAACAGCAUUUUCCCUAUAAUUCUCAUCUUUCAUUUUCCACCUUUAUCCAAACAUGUCAAUAUGUU